rnacentral:lncRNA from 1 species
AUAACAGCACAUAGCCAGAUGGUCAUUUAGUGUACCUCAUUUAGUGAAACCUACCUUCUUUAAAGCAACAAUCUUUCCAGUUUCAAGGUCUCGAUCUCUGUACAUGCUGUUGUAAGUCCCCUGUAUUUUACAAUUCAUUUUAUAGAUUGCAUGCAUUCAUAUAAACCAACCAAAAGCCCUUUAUUACAUUGUUUCUUAUUUGCAGCUGACAGAAGCAUUUGGGAAGUUCUAUGGAAGAUCAAAACAGUGAACCAGCAAUGAUAAAUCUCGUGCUGGUGUUCAUGACAACUGCAUCAAGUAUAUAUCACCAUUCUUACUUUUUUUUUUCUAAUUUAAUUUAUUCUUCUUAAUUUUAAUGUAGUUGCUAUCUCAUUGUAGGCACACAUAGGUUUUGUCUUUGGUAACUCAAUUUUACCCAUUUGAGGAGAUAAGUUUGUUAUUAUUUUUUUGCUUUUUUCCUUUCUGAGUGUGGAUAUGGAAACUUCAUGCACAAUUUUAUUAUAAUUAUUUUCCAGGUCAUAUGAAUGAUUAAAUGUCAACACUCGACAUGCACCUGAAUUCUAUAUUUUCUGGUGCUUGUAGAGUGUCAUGUAUUGAUUGAUUAAUGGUUUGGUUGAACACAAGUCACUUGAUACUUCAUGCAUACUUUGGAUCAUUUUAAAUUGUUAAUGGUUCAGUUUAGAAUUCAAGCGAUGUCUAACGUUUAAUGAUCAAUUUCACAGGUGAUGACCUUACAUGUGACAAUGCAAAUCUUGAAGGUGAAUCAGGGUCACGCACAAUUCUUGGUUGACAGGUCAAAGGAAUUGUCACAGAGCAGGUUGUUAUUAUGCUUCACCUGUUCAAAAUAGCAAUAUACUCUCUUUAUUUUGUUUAUUGUAACAUUAUAUAUUGUAAGAAGUAGAAUUGUAUGACAUUAAAUUUUAUGCAAUGGAUUGUAUUUUUUAUAUGGGAUUUUAUUUCUAUUA